UUGGAAGAAUGAGCCUGCUUCCACAGCGUCUGAGUCAGCCACUCUGAGAGGCAACUUUAGUUUUAGGCAUCAUCUGUAAGCAUGCUGACACAAGUGCACAAUCCCAGCUUUAAAAAUGACUAACAUUAGCAUUUUCACCUACACCUCCGAGUGAAAGAAUAAACAUUAAAUAACAUUCAGUGGAACAAAAUACAAGGCCUGAGUGGGAGUAAAAGCAAAGGAUUUGAAAAGCUCCUCUACCUACUUCAAUUUGUUUAAACCACUGAAUAUAUUUCCAGAUUCCGGCAGUAGCCAAGCUAAAUUAUUCACACUUCUUGGAAUUUAUAUCCUUAGGUUGUCAUAAAACAUUUUGACAGGCCAAGGCUAUCACAGAAUACCAACACGAAAUAGAGCUGGCAUGGAUUUGAAGACACUGUUAGAAGUUGCGGAAAACAGCUUUUGAGAAAUGAUGGAAACAGUGACUGCCACUUUCUUAAUCUGAAGUUUGCUUAAGAUUUGCAAAUUACCAUCUUAGAUGUUCUUAUGUAAGGUGCAAUACCUUCGCCCGAUGAUGAAUCCAAACACCAUGAAGACCAAAAUGAUGGUUCCCGCCACAGCAACUACAGCUAUGAUAAUAACAGGAUUCUGUUCACUGGAAACAGCGGUGGCUGCAAACAGGGCAAAGAGCAGAGAUUAGCUUAAAAUUAUUCCCUGCAAAAGAACUGCAAAAAAUUAAAUCGACCUUAAUGAA